ensembl:lncRNA
GUCCGGCGUGAGCAACAAACAGGCCUGCAACAAGUGUGAAUGAGAAGACGAGGAAGCGGCUGUCAGAGUGGCGAGACGGGUUGUGGAAACCGAAAGUGAAGUACAACAGAGUAACUGAGGAGGCGGAGCUAGAAAACGUCAUAGGAGGAGGUAAGUGAGUGUGUGGCAGAAUGGGUGAUAGGGCGACCUCUGGUGAAAUAAAAGGGUAUAAGCCCUUGAAGGCUCAGCUUGAACAGCUGAAGAGAGCUGUUCGACUGGCUAAUGCUGGAACAUUAAAAGCGGCUGAAAAAGAAUGUCAGGUUAUGGAGCUUGAGGUAAGUAAGCUCAUCACAUCUCAACAAAAGAAAUUGAGUGAUGAAAUAGCUCUGAGCUUGGUGUUUCAAGCGGAAGGAAAAGAUGUGAAGAACAACUGAAGCAACUGGAAGAGGAGUCUGUGGGUCACUCAGUGAAUAGAAAGACCAAGGCAGAAAUGAAGGACCUCAGAGAGAUGCAUGAUAAGUGCUCUAAGUGGUUGUUUUUGUGGAAUGCCGCAAAAUCUUGGAUGAAGGAGGAUGACACGGCCAGAGCGGGGGAGAUGGUGAGUAUAAUGGCCUCAGUAAAACAACUGAAAGAGGAAAAUAAGAAGUUGGAGGAGCAAAUGAGGAACUUGACCACAAAAACAGAGGAAACUGCUAGACCCUCAACACCCAAAAUAUACCCAUGGGCUGCGUUAAUGCCAAGUGCCCCACCCCCACCCUAUGUCAUGCCGGUGAUGACUUUGGAUGGAGGACAGGUGCGCGGGCCUGGAGGAAAAACAGGAACAGUCCUGGGAGGAGUGGUGAAUGUUGAAUACACUGGUGGACACAUAAGGAGACAAGAGGAAGAAGUAAGAGCAGGGGGGCAUCAGCCCUUUAGUGAAGGUGGGAGACUGGAGGCCUCAGCUGCAGAUGAAGGCCCAACCUCGCCACCAAGGGGAAUUAGGAGUGAUAGGCUGACGCCGUCCGAGAAACACCUGUUGGAUCAGCUAAGACAGGACAGACAGGAGGAGGGGAUGCACACCGGAGAGGAGGGGCGGCCCCCGAUGGAGCUGGGAGCCCGGCCCAAGCACAAGGGAUCGCCAGGUCCGCAGAGGGAAGGACAGGCCCAGAUGAGGAGAUCGGGUGGAGCAGAAAUAAUGCCCGACCGGGAACGCUGGGAAGGAGAAGUGCAUGGUCCUAUGUAUGAGGAGCCUGAGGCAUUGCUGAAGGUGUUCAAAGCAUUGGAACUGGCGAAGAGGAAAAUGCUUAAGGACUGGUCAAAGGAUAAAAUGGAGGAUGGGGUCUCCUGGAGUGAUGAAGAGGAGGAUGGCGAUGAAGAAGAAGCAGCUGAAGAGGGAGAAGUUGAGUCAGACCCAGGU